GAUGAACGCUAGCUACAGGCCUAACACAUGCAAGUCGCGGGGCAGCAUGGGGGUUGCUUGCAAUCCCCGAUGGCGACCGGCGCACGGGUGAGUAACGCGUAUCCAACCUGCCCUUCACCACGGGAUAACCCGGCGAAAGUCGGACUAAUACCGUAUGUUGUCCAUUGACGGCAUCCGAUUUGGACGAAAGGGUUGGCGGUGAAGGAUGGGGAUGCGUCCGAUUAGCUGGACGGCGGGGUGACGGCCCACCGUGGCGACGAUCGGUAGGGGUUCUGAGAGGAAGGUCCCCCACACUGGAACUGGGACACGGUCCAGACUCCUACGGGAGGCAGCAGUGAGGAAUAUUGGUCAAUGGGCGUAAGCCUGAACCAGCCAAGUAGCGUGCAGGAUGACGGCCCUAUGGGUUGUAAACUGCUUUUAUGCGGGGAUAAAGUGGCCCACGUGUGGGUUUUUGCAGGUACCGCAUGAAUAAGGACCGGCUAAUUCCGUG
rnacentral:rRNA from 1 species